rnacentral:ncRNA from 1 species
NNNNNNNNNNNNNNNNNNNNNNNNNNNNNNNNNNACAAAACCUGUCCUUAACAGGAUGGUACUGACUUUCAUACAGGUGCUGCAUGGCUGUCGUCAGCUCGUGUCGUGAGAUGUUUGGUCAAGUCCUAUAACGAGCGAAACCCUCAUUUUGUGUUGCUGAGACAUGCGCCUAAGGAGAAAUUGCCACCGAGUGACGUGCCAGCGCUACUACUUGAUUGAGUGCCAGCACAUAGCUGUGCUUUCAGCAAGAAUUUCACCAUUGGGAGCCGGUGACUUUCGAAGCACUUUCACGUGUGAACCGAAGUCGUCUUGCCCAAGACCCACGGAGACCUACCUAUAGUGACGUCAAAGUACCAGUGAGCAUGGAGGUUUGGUUGAAAUUGGUUACGACGACGUCGAGUUGGCGGCGGAGGAAGACUCGGCAUGAAGGCCAGAAAAUGGUGUGGAACGUAGUGGUAAUAGUACGCGCCCCACUCCGAAACAAAGAAAAAGGUGCGUGCCGCACUCACGAGGGACUGCCAGUGAGAUACUGGAGGAAGGUGGGGAUGACGUCAAGUCCGCAUGGCCCUUAUGGGCUGGGCCACACAUGUGCUACAAUGGCAAUGACAAUGGGAAGCAAGGCUGUAAGGCGGAGCGAAUCCGGAAAGAUUGCGUCAGUUCGGAUUGUUCUCUGCAACUCGGGAACAUGAAGUUGAA